rnacentral:rRNA from 1 species
AGUGAACGCUGGCGGCAGGCCUAACACAUGCAAGUCGAACGGCAGCACAAGAGAGCUUGCUCUCUGGGUGGCGAGUGGCGGACGGGUGAGGAAUGCAUCGGAAUCUGCCCAUUUGUGGGGGAUAACCUCGGGAAACCGGGACUAAUACCGCAUACGACCUACGGGUGAAAGCAGGGGAUCUUCGGACCUUGCGCAGAUGGAUAAGCCGAUGCCGGAUUAGCUAGUUGGAGGGGUAAAGGCCCACCAAGGCGACGAUCCGUAGCUGGUCUGAGAGGAUGAUCAGCCACACUGGGACUGAGACACGGCCCAGACUCCUACGGGAGGCAGCAGUGGGGAAUAUUGGACAAUGGGCGCAAGCCUGAUCCAGCCAUGCCGCGUGUGUGAAGAAGGCCUUCGGGUUGUAAAGCACUUUUGUUGGGAAAGAAAAGCAGCCGGCUAAUACCCGGUUGUCAUGACGGUACCCAAAGAAUAAGCACCGGCUAACUUCGUG